CCCCCAGUCAUAGUGACACAGGCAUGGAGAGGCCAGCUUGUGUUUCCCUGUAGCUGGGUCUGGUGUUACUGGGCCUGGGUAGAGGUGGAGGAUAGGAUGGUAGCUGGGUCUGGUGUUACUGGUUCUGGGUUGAGGUGGAGGAUAGGAUGGUAGCUGGGUCUGGUUACUGGGUCUGGGUAGAGGUGGAGGAUAGGAUGGUAGCUGGGUCUGGUUACUGGGUCUGGGUAGAGGUGGAGGAUAGGAAGGUAGCUGGGUUUGGUGUUACUGGGUCUGGGUAGAGGUGGAGGAUAGGAUGGUAGCUGGGUCUGGUUACUGGGUCUGGGUAGAGGUGGAGGAUAGGAUGGUUACUGGGUCUGGGUAGAGGUGGAGGAUAGGAUGGUUACUGGGUCUGGGUGGAGGAUAGGAUGGUUACUGGGUCUGGGUGGAGGAUAGGAUGGUUACUGGGCCUGGGUGGAGGAUAGGAUGGUAGCUGGGUCUGGGUAGAGGUGGAGGAUAGGAUGGUAAACAGAGGCCUGACUUGGCAGACAUGUUUAUGUCUGUGUUGCCAUCUGUGACUGUGUGUGUGUGUUCUGUAUGUGUUCUCUGUGUGUGUGUUUGUUCUGUAUGUUUGUGUUCUGUUUGUG
ensembl:lncRNA